CGAGAGGACCGCCCACGCGAAACACUACUGCGCUUGCUCCACCCCCGCGCGCCGCCGGCCAGCCCCAGAGUUCCCAGCGCGCGGUCAUUGACCUAAGAGUCGCGGCAGCUCCUUGUCGUCGAGUCCCCGGGCGUGAGGGAGAGGAAGCGCUGGACGGGCGGCGGGACUCGGCCUCGGUGCAGAUAUAAGGAGAAGUUAGCAGUCUGCAAAUCAGAAAACUUUCCUUACCAGAACUCAACCAUACUGGCAGCCUGCUCUUGAACUUCCAGUCUCCAGAACUUUUAUGAAGCACUGCUGUAUACAUCAUUCUACUGAAUGAAGACCUGAAUGCCUCAGACACUUGUAGCACCAAGCUUCAUGAUCUUUAAGGUCUUGGAUCAACUGGUAUUGUGAAAAGAAAAUAAGCUGGUAACCUCCCUGUCGCCGAGGUAGUGAAGACGCCGCUGUCUGCUCCACAGGGUGGGGGGGGUGACGCCCGGACCUCGCUUCACACAGGAGUUCUCUCAGGUGUCUCUUUUUCCAGUAUGUUCAAUCUUCGCCCUCUCUGCUGGGUCCUUUCAGCGUAUAAACAAGGUAAGGUCUUUCCUCACCUUCAUGUCACUUCCAUCUACAAUUGUCCUAGAUUUCAGAAAUUUCCAAGCACCAGUCCCUGAACUCUUCCUAAGUAGUGAGGAAAUCUCACUAAUUCAUGAUAAAUACUUGAGCAAAUAAGGAUAAUAUAGUGAGUUUCUCAUUAAGCUAAAGUAAUUCAAUUUAAAUGAUUUUCUUUUGUUCUGAAAUUAUGACUUUUUUUUAAUGUUCUGAUAUUCUUUGUAUAGGAGGCCCUCUGUAUCUGUGGGUUCUGUAUCCUUGGUUACAGAAGGCCGACUGUACCACACCAUUUAAUACAAGGGACUUGAGCACCCGUAGAGUUUGAUAUCCUUUGGGGGUCCUGAAACAAAUCCCCCAAGGAUCCCCAGAGAUGACUGUAUGCCACCUAUCAGAAGUGUGAAGACUUCACCUGAGCAACGAACAACCCUCUUUGCUAUACUGCAUUGUUUACAAAUUGAAGGCUUGUGACAAACCUGCGUUGAGCAAGUCUAUUGGUGCCGUUUUUCCAGCAGCAUUAGUUUAAUUAAGCUUGAGACCAAAGAGUCGCUGUGAGGGAACAUGGAACUGAGGUUGCCUGCAGUUGCAUAGAGGGACCCAACGUAUGGCUGGAUGCUGAGAAACAGUUAGAAUGCUCCUGUGAAGAAAAGUGGCUGGCGGAUAGUGGGUCAUUAAUCACCAGACGUUGAGCCCGUGCCCCCUCUUCAGGCCACUAUCGACGAGGCCUGUGAGGGUCAAACAGUGUGCCUUUCAGAUGCGUGAAGACCCUAGGAACCAAGGCGUGAUGGAUGUGUCUGGUGGAGAAGAGACCAUUACAAGCCACUCGUUGUUUAAGAACUCUCUCCUGUCCCAUUUGCCACCAAAAGUUAUUUCCUCUGUGUUGGUGGAAGUCAUAAAUGUGUCUACUUGGAAUCACAUACGGGAAGUUCCAGAACAUUCAUGCAGCUUUUCAGGUCUUCACCCCCACCGUCAGUUUACACCAGCUGCUUCUCAUCACCUAGCCCUGGGGUCCUUCCCAUGAAGUUCGGUCCAACAGAGAAGCCAGCACCCAAAGGAAGUCCAUGCACACACUGAGCAGAGGACAAAAGCCGAGACUUGAAGAGAGUGGUAUUUUCUCCAGAGACACCAGAUAGGAAUAUAAGUUGAAUGUCCCACAUGUGGUCCACUCAUCCACGCUGGCUUUGAACCACACUCAUUCCACGCUGAGCUCUUGUUUCCUAAAGCGCAUUCUAUGGUCUUCCAGUGCAGACAUAUGGCAUGCACUUCUGGCUGUUCUACAGAGCCUUCUGGUCCAGGGCUGACUGAAUAUCUAGUGACAAGGUUGGACAGCAUUGCUGGGAAUAUUUACCAAGACUGGUCUGAUGGAAAGUUCUAAAAAUCCUCAAAAUGUUUUAUGUCAAGGUGCCUGAAUCCCUUCAAGGACAGGAGUCUCCACUGCAUGUGCAGAUGUGUUCAUAGGCUUGGUCAGCAGGGAGCUGAAAAGGGUACAACGCUCAAGUGUCCUGAAAUUACGGGCCUAAUUUACCCAAGUCCUCGAAGGCACUAGCUCUAGGUGAAAGGCCUGAAGGCAAUGUCUAGCAGCUGUUGGCUUUUAAUUAGAGCCACAGUUGUUCUUGGUGCCACAUUUGGUAAAGCAGAAUGGAAUGCGUGUUUCCCAGAUUUUUACACACAAAUUCUCCACCCACCACGAGCUGUAUAAACAGACACACCUUCCUCAUCAGCUUGGCAUGGGGUGUCUCUCCUUUCCAUUCUCUUGCACAAUAACUGAGUAAAUCAACUUCUGCCUCCACACUGAGGUUCCCUGGACCAAAUCAAAGAUACAAGGUGGUGAAUUUUCCCUUUCCUUUCCCUUCUUGAACCCUCUCUGCACUUUAAAAAUAAGGAAGCAUAUGCAUGAAAAUAUUUACUUUUGAAUCUCCUCUGCAGAUAUCCAAUCCACCUAAAAGAUAAGGGAACGAUAAUAUCAAAAUUCUAUUUUAAACAGCAAGGGCAUUUUUGAAAAUUAAAGAUGACAUAGCCACAUACCUUUUCAGCCGGUGCCCUAAAUAUAAAUGUAGCCUUCUGAAGUAGCAGAGGGUGCCCACCAGAAAUGAAACUGCCAGUGUCACUGACCCCUUUCCUACUCUCCACGCGGUAUCUAAGGCUUGGCUGGUGACGAGUGUCCAGGAGUGCACUUGGUCAUUUCCUACAAAAAUUUAAUAAUAAUAACACUGUAUAGCAUGGGGAACUAUAUUUAAUAUACUCGAUAAACCAUAAUGGAAAAGAAUAUAAAAAGGAAUGUAUAUAUGUGUCUGAGUCACUUUGCUGUACAGCAGAAAUUAACAUUGUAAAUCAACUAUACUUCAAUAAAAAGUAAAAUAAAUAUACAUCACAAUUACACAAGCCUGCUUUGUUUAAGGGGGAAAAAAAGAUACACUGGAUAAUUUUACCUGUAAAGAGUCUAUCAUUGAUUUAAAUAAACGUUUUUUAAAGCAUUUGAAAAUUCAAUCUAAAGAUUAAAGAAACACCUAGUUCUCCUAUAAUCAGUGUCAUAUAUAAAGAUAUCUUUGUUCCACAGAAUUCAAGAGGAAUAGGGAACAUAAACAGCAUGGGUUUCGGAAUCCCUCAGACCUGAAUUUAAAACCCAUUUCUCCUACUUACUCAGCUGUCUGACUGUGGGACACCUCAUUUCUCUUCCCCUGAAUUUUCUUGACUGUAAAAUGGGAGUAAAAAUACUGACCUCGCUGGAGAAAGAUGGAAUGAAAUCAUUUAAGAACUAGCACAGUGCGCCUUGCACUGUGUAGAAUAUCUGUUAAAUCCAAGAAUGAUCAAGGGAGUCUGCUCAGCACCGAGCCCACAGGAGUCAAUCACACCAGGGGGGUCUCCUGCCGUGUGGCCACCACCCACUUUUGCCCACGGCGAUACUCUUAGGUCAUUAUGGGGCAUAACACAUGCCAUCAUCUGCACGCACAGAACGAGACUCAGACAGCAGGCACAGAGACAUGGUUUCCAGAAAGUGGGCCACUCAGAAUAGUCGUGGAUGGAGCUAGGUGUGCAGCUUACAGGGUACACUACGAUUCCUGAUGUGACAGGAGAGAAAAUUCACAGGCCAGGAGAGCCCAAACUACGUACUUGCAAUAUUUUACUAUGUGCAACAGAUUCCUAAUUAUAUUAUGUUUGAACAUGUAAAAUGCUGAAGUACAAAUGAGGAAGAGAACUUUUGAAUGGUGGCCAAACCUCCUGGGGUUCAUUGUGAAACAGUUCCCUCCCGGGCACAUUGGUUUAGUAAAAUUCCAAUGAUUAACUGUAGUAAAAGCCUCCUGGAUUCGGAAUCUACAAGUUUAGCAUUUUUGCUCGUAUGGAUAUUUGAUAUGCAUAUCUCAGUAAAGUUGCUAUACAUUCUCAAUAAAUAUAUAUACUC